CUCCCCCUUGACUGGUGGUCUUCUCUUGGUCUCUUAUGUUUUUCUCCUCAUGAAGUAUCUAAAUUUUCUGGUAAUCAGGGCCAAGUCCUUAUCUUCCUCACUAUUGUCUGAUUUUUCUAUCUUUUUCUUCCUGAGCUGUCGACUUGAGAGUUAUGAUCCUUUUUCUUUUGGUUUUCUCCUCAAUAUGUUGCUUCAUGGUCAGUUCGUGAGUCAUGAGAGAUCCAAGCAGCUCCUCCAAUGGUAGAGUAUUCAAAUCCUUGGCCUCUUGGAUUGCAGUGACUUUUGCCUCCCAUGAUCUUGUAAAGAUCUGAGCACUUUUUUCACAAAAUCACUAUUAGAAUAAUAUUUGUCAAGAUUUUUUUAACCAUUUAUUAUGUCAGUG
rnacentral:lncRNA from 1 species